rnacentral:rRNA from 1 species
UACGUAGGGGGCAAGCGUUGUCCGGAAUCAUUGGGCGUAAAGCGCGCGUAGGCGGCCCGGUAAGUCCGCUGUAAAAGUCCAGGGCUCAACCCUGGAAAGCCGGUGGAUACUGUCGGACUAGAGUACAGAAGGGGCAACUGGAAUUCUCGGUGUAGCGGUGAAAUGCGUAGAUAUCGAGAGGAACACCUGCGGCGAAGGCGGGUUGCUGGGCUGACACUGACGCUGAGGCGCGAAAGCUAGGGGAGCGAACGGG